rnacentral:lncRNA from 1 species
UGCUGUUUAAAUUGCAAAUUGCGUUUUCGCAACGCUCGCAGUUGUGAAGGCAUAAAAAGUAGACCACUUAGACCACUUUUUAAGUAGUAUGGCAAAGGUCAGAGUGCACAGAAGACGCAAACGUAAGUUUGCCGGGAACCAACACACGACGAAGCGUCUGUCUCCUGAGCUAGUGGACGCGGGCGUUUCAGCAAGUGCCAAGAAGCUUGGGAACAUCGAGAAAAGCUACGAAGCUCUCCUAGAGCAUUCUUCA